rnacentral:rRNA from 1 species
GAUGAACGCUGGCGGCGUGCCUAAUACAUGCAAGUCGAGCGAAGCGGGGACGGGUGAGAAACACGUGGAUAACCUCCUAUAAGACUGGGAUAACUUCGGGAAACCGGAGCUAAACCGGAUAAUUAUAGAUGGAUCCGCGCUGCAUUAGCAAGUUGGUAAGGUAACGGCUUACCAAGGCAACGAUUCAUAGCCGACCUGAGAGGGGGAUAGGCCACAUGGGAACUGAGCACCGGCCCAGACUCCGACGGGAGGAAGCAGUAGGGAAUCUUCCGCAAUGGGCGAAAGCCUGACGGGGAAAGGCCGCGUGAGUGAUGAAGGUCUUCGGAUCGUAAAACCCUGUAAUUAGGGAAGCGGUACCUAAUCAGAAAGCCACGGCUAACUACGUGCCAGCAGCCGCGGUAAUUC